CGAUUACUUCAAUUACGUGAAUCACAUGAGUCGAUUAGUGGAGUGUGGUCACGUGUAUUAGUGGACGGUGGUGGCGAUGGUUAAGGUUCUGGAAUUGUUUAUUGACUAAAACUUUGUUUUGUGUUGGUGGAGAUGAAUUGGAUUAUUAAACCGGCUGAUCGACAUGGGAUUAUUAAAGCGAGACAUAGUUUUAAUUCUCGGUUUAGAUAAGCGUGAUUUAAUCUUUUUAAACUAAGAAACCCUACUUUCUCUAGAAGACUCGACACCGUGUUCUCUUUUUUUUGUUACCGUCGCCUAUCUAGAGCAAGAGAGAGAGUUCGGUGGUGGUGAUAGAAAUAGAGAGAGCUGAGUUUGGUUGUGGUGCUAGAAGAAAAAGAGAGCUAAGUGUUGUGUGUGGAAGAGGAAGAGGUUAAAGUUUGGUGAAAGAAGAGAGAGACAGCAGACACGUUUUGGUAGAACAGAGUUUCAACGUAUCAAAUCGUUUCCAAAGGUAACGAAAAUUUCAGAGAUUGUAGGUAAGACUUAUAUCUAGUUUUGGCCUUUUACGGAUAUUGAUUUGAGUCAAUAUUCUAAGUUAUCUCUGUUUUCGUGAGUUUUUCUGUUUCAGACGCGAUUUGGACCAAUAUGUAUUCAAAGGAAGAUCGCGAGUGAAUCCUUUUGUCUAAUCGUCACGAAAUUUUGAGGGUAGCUUCAGUACACUUAGGGGAAGCUUUUCAAUGGUGGAAAUUGAAAUUGGACGGUGAUUUGAGAUACUGUUGACGUGAGGAAAAAGUCAACUGUGGUUGUGUGGUGUUGUUCUUUGUUCAAAAAUCAUCCCUAAGCUGAUGUGAGUGCGUGACAAUGAGCUUAUCUAAGCGAUUGAGAUUUUGUGAUUGUUUGUUGUGACAUGUAGGUUGGAUUUUUGAUGGAUCCUGAAUUGAAAUCCGUUAGAUUGUUGUGUUAUUGGAUGAUUGUCAUUGGUUUGGUUUAUUUUCAUGAUUUAUGUGUUGAUUUAUGAUCUUAGUUGCUUGUUUGUAUAGCUCGUAGAUGGGAGGAUUGCCUCACUAAGUAUUUAUUGAAAUACUUAUGCAUCUCUUUUCUUGGUGCAUGUAAAGAUAAAGUGUGAUCGUGAAAUCAUGGCGAGGAGAGGAGGAUGAUCUAGGGUCUCGUUGGUGUUAGUUUAUCUAAGCGAUUGGGAUUAUGUGAUUGUUUGUUGUGAUGUGUAUGUUGGAUUUUUGAUGGAUCCAGAAUUGAAAUCCGUUAGAUGGUUGUGUUAUUGGAUGAUUGUCAUUGGGUUUGGUUUAUUUUCAUGAAUUAUAUGUUGAUUUGUGAUCUUAGUUGCUUGUGUGUAUAGCUCGUGGAUGGGAGGAUUGCCUCACUAAGUAUUUAUUGAAAUACUUAUGCAUCUCUUCUCUUGGUGCAGGUAAAGAUAAAGUGUGAUCGUAGAAUCAUAGCGAAGAAAGGAGGAUGAGCUAGGGUCUCGUUGGUGUUAGUUUAAUAUUUUUGGUAUGAUGGAAUUUUGGAUUAGAAGUUGUUAGAAUUGUUAGAUAAUUUGUUGGUUUAUGUUGGUUAAAUUAUAAUAAAUUGAAUUUAAAUUUUUGAUAUGAGUUGUGUUUGUUUUGGCAUGA